UUGUUCGUGCACUUUAAGGACUUUUUUUCUUUUCCUUUUCUUUUAGAAAUAACAGUCAGUAAUAGAAAAAACAGGUAAAGUGUGAGGAAAAAAAAAAAAAAAAAAAA
rnacentral:ribozyme from 14 species